CGCCGCGUGAGGGACGACGGCCUCCGGGUCGUAAACCUCUUUUAGUAGGGAAGAAGCGAAAGUGACGGUACCUGCAGAAAAAGCACCGGCUAACUACGUGCCAGCAGCCGCGGUAAUACGUAGGGUGCAAGCGUUGUCCGGAAUUAUUGGGCGUAAAGAGCUCGUAGGCGGUUUGUCGCGUCUGCUGUGAAAACCCGAGGCUCAACCUCGGGCCUGCAGUGGGUACGGGCAGACUAGAGUGCGGUAGGGGAGAAUGGAAUUCCUGGUGUAGCGGUGGAAUGCGCAGAUAUCAGGAGGAACACCGAUGGCGAAGGCAGUUCUCUGGGCCGUAACUGACGCUGAGGAGCGAAAGCGUGGGGAGCGAACAGGAUUAGAUACCCUGGUAGUCCACGCCGUAAACGUUGGGCGCUAGAUGUGGGGACCAUUCCACGGUUUCCGUGUCGCAGCUAACGCAUUAAGCGCCCCGCCUGGGGAGUACGGCCGCAAGGCUAAAACUCAAAGGAAUUGACGGGGGCCCGCACAAGCGGCGGAGCAUGCGGAUUAAUUCGAUGCAACGCGAAGAACCUUACCAAGGCUUGACAUAUACGAGAACGCUCUAGAAAUAGAGAACUCUUUGGAC
rnacentral:rRNA from 1 species